UGGAGGGUGUGGUGAAGGCCGCCUGGCCUCCCGGGGCCCCCGGCCCCGAGACGUCGGAGGGCGCCGCUUCGUCCGCGGCGCCCUCCGG
rnacentral:tRNA from 1 species